ensembl:misc_RNA 7SK 7SK RNA
GGAUGUGAGGGUGAUCUGGCUGCGACAUCUGUCACUCCAUUGAUCGCCAGGGUUGAUUUGGCUGAUCUGGCUGGCUAGGCGGUUGUCUCCUUCCUCCCUCACCGCUCCAUGUGCGUCGCUCCUGAAGCUGCGUACUCAGUCGAAGAGGAUGACUAUCCCCGCUAGAGGAGGACCGGUCUUCGGUCAGGAGUAUAUGAGUAGCUGCGCUCCCCUGCUAGAACCUCCAAACAAGUUCUCAAAUAGAUUAAAUAUUUUUAAAAAGGAAGGAAGGAGGAAAGAAGGAAGGAAAGAAAGAG